GUUUUUAAAAUUUCAUUGUGAAAGGUCAAACUUAUCAGCCAGUUUCUAAACAUCCUAAAUCACUGCAGUUCUGGUUUUUAUUUGGAUGGGAUCCCACCACUGAAUAUCAAAUGCUGUAGACAAGGACUUUAAAAACUUUUUCUACUUGUGACUCCUUUCUGCCUAAGAAAUUUUCCAUGACUCCAGGUAUAUAGCUAUAUAAAAUAGAUAUAAAAUCAAGCAUUUAAUGAUAAUGAAUCAACAUUUGAAAGGCUUGUUAAACAGGCUGAUUUUUCUUUUUGUGGAGUACAGCUGAAGCAUUUUCUGCAGAGUGAACACUGUUUGUUGUUGCUGAUUUCUGUGAUUAGGUGGCUUUCAGAAGCCUUUUACUGUUGCCAAAUUUUGUGACCCCCAACAUUGAGCUAAGGGAACCCUAUUUGGGGUCAGGACCCUUGGUUUAAGAAGCAGUGCCAUAGACUAUAUUUCAAAGAAGGCAAUGACAAAACCAUCUCUGAGUAUCUCUUGCCUUAUGGAGCAGCCAUAAGUUGACAUGCAGUUUGAAGGCAUAUAUGUGCACACACAUAAUUCCAUUAUCAACAGACAGCAUGGCUCCAAGCAGGUCUCAGGUUGGAGAAGGCUACCACAUGAGUGUGCCAGUCCCUUUUCCUCUAGCUAGCCUCAGCUCAGCAUGGUCAGUGGAGGCCUGAGAACGCAAGACACAGAUUUUCCUAUCACUGGCUGGCUCACUCUGUUUACCUUGCUCAGCCCACGUGCCACUCCAUUACUUUGCUGGGUGCAUCUGUUCGUUUCUCAAAAGAAGAAGGAAUCCUCAUCCCCUUCAUUGGCUAAGAGGGUGUGGGAAGCCCAACUAUACAGGGUGUGCCAUGUCUCAGUGGAGGAAGGAGUGUCCAUCUCCUUUCGUGGCCAAGAAAGGGACCGGAAGCCCAGCUACAUGGUGUGUCCCUGUCUUGGCAAAGAAAGGAAUAUUUGUACCCUUUCUUGACUGAGGGAAGAGUAGCAUGGCCCCUUUCUUAGUGGAGGAAGAAUUCUCUGUCUCCUUCCUCAGCUGAGAGAGUAACACGAAGCCUGGCUGUGCGGAGCAUGCUCCUGUCUCAGCGGAAGAAGGAGACAGAAGGGGAACAUGAAGAUUGCAUAUACUGCAGCUGGGGCUUGCCAUAGCUGUCACUGUUGUCUAGAGCCGUUUGUCAUCCUGGUAGGAAUAAUGUUUAUUUGUAUGUUUUUUCAACUUUUGCAGGUCUCCUGUACCCCUAAACCCCACAAAAGUGAAAAAUUGGCUGUAGUUAAAAUCCAGCUGUUCCUGUGCCAUAUUUGGCCUGUUUAUCCUAUUACAAAGAUGUUUGACCGACUUGGAUAUUUAUAUAGCUUCAUCCUUUAUUAUAGCUUUCCAUACCUGAUUUUAGCUAUUUGCUCAAUAGCUAUACUGACAUGUUCUAUUAUUGCUACCUCACUUUUACCAAUUUUGUAUAUAGUUCUCAUUCCUUGUGGUUAGGAGUACAAGAUCCUUCAUGGAAGUAAAUAUCUGUGAGCAAAGGAAUUAGUUUUUUUUUAACCUGAAAGUACCUCUCUAAGAAUUUCUAGAUCCUUCCAAUGGUAAGUUUACAGAGUCAUGCUGGAAGACCUAGAAAUUCUUAGAGAGGUACUUUCAGGUUAAAAAAAAACUAAUUCCUUUGCUCACAGAUAUUUACUUCCAUGAAGGAUCUUGUACUCCUAACCACAAGGAAUGAGAACUAUAUACAAAAUUGGUAAAAGUGAGGUAGCAAUAAUAGAACAUGUCAGUAUAGCUAUUGAGCAAAUAGCUAAAAUCAGGUAUGGAAAGCUAUAAUAAAGGAUGAAGCUAUAUAAAUAUCCAAGUCGGUCAAACAUCUUUGUAAUAGGAUAAACAGGCCAAAUAUGGCACAGGAACAGCUGGAUUUUAACUACAGCCAAUUUUUCACUUUUGUGGGGUUUAGGGGUACAGGAGACCUGCAAAAGUUGAAAAAACAUACAAAUAAACAUUAUUCCUACCAGGAUGACAAACGGCUCUAGACAACAGUGACAGCUAUGGCAAGCCCCAGCUGCAGUAUAUGCAAUCUUCAUGUUCCCCUUCUGUCUCCUUCUUCCGCUGAGACAGGAGCAUGCUCCGCACAGCCAGGCUUCGUGUUACUCUCUCAGCUGAGGAAGGAGACAGAGAAUUCUUCCUC